rnacentral:rRNA from 1 species
AUACGUAGGUGGCAAGCGUUGUCCGGAAUUAUUGGGCGUAAAGCGCAUGUAGGCGGUUUGGUAAGUCGGUCGUGAAAAUGCGGUGCUUAACGCCGUAUGGCGAUUGAAACUGCUGAACUUGAGUGCAGGAGAGGGAAGGGGAACUCCCAGUGUAGCGGUGAAAUGCGUAGAUAUUGGGAAGAACACCGGUGGCGAAGGCGCCUUUCUGGACUGUGUCUGACGCUCAGAUGCGAAAGCCAGGGUAGCGAACGGGAUUAGAUACCCCGGUAGUCCUGGCCGUAAACGAUGGGUACUAGGUGUGGGAGGUAUCGACUCCUUCCGUGCCGGAGUUAACGCAAUAAGUACCCCGCCUGGGGAGUACGGCCGCAAGGCUUAAACUCAAAUGAAUUGACGGGG